GUACAGGUAUUGUGAUACAGUCUACAGUCCACUAGUACAGGUAUUGUGAUACAGUCUACAGUCCACUAGUACAGGUAUUGUGAUACAGUCUACAGUCCACUAGUACAGGUAUUGUGAUACAGUCCACUAGUACAGGUAUUGUGAUACAGUCUACAGUCCACUAGUACAGGUAUUGUGAUACAGUCUAC